rnacentral:rRNA from 1 species
AUACGUAGGGUGCGAGCGUUAAUCGGAAUUACUGGGCGUAAAGGGUGCGCAGGCGGUUUUAUAAGCCAGAUGUGAAAUCCCCGGGCUCAACCUGGGAACUGCAUUUGGGACUGUAAGACUAGAGUACGGCAGAGGGGGGUAGAAUUCCACGUGUAGCAGUGAAAUGCGUAGAUAUGUGGAGGAAUACCGAUGGCGAAGGCAGCCCCCUGGGUCGAUACUGACGCUCAGGCACGAAAGCGUGGGGAGCAAACAGGAUUAGAAACCCUAGUAGUCC